AAACUUGCUUUUCAAACUUAGCGGCGGACGGGUGAGUACACGUGGGCACCUGCCCUUGAGACGGGGAUAACUCCGGGAAACCGGAGCUAAUACCGGAUAACACAUAUCUUCGCAUGAGGAUAUGUUAGAAGGUGGCUUUUAGCUACCACUCAAGGAUGGGCCCGCGGCGCAUUAGCUAGUUGGUGAGGUAACGGCUCACCAAGGCGACGAUGCGUAGCCGACCUGAGAGGGUGAUCGGCCACACUGGGACUGAGACACGGCCCAGACUCCUACGGGAGGCAGCAGUAGGGAAUCUUCCGCAAUGGACGAAAGUCUGACGGAGCAACGCCGCGUGAGUGAUGAAGGUUUUCGGAUCGUAAAGCUCUGUUGUUAGGGAAGAACAAGUACCUGUUNAAUAAGCAGGUACCUUGACGGUACCUAACCAGAAAGCCACGGCUAACUACGUGCCAGCAGCCGCGGUAAUACGUAG
rnacentral:rRNA from 1 species